rnacentral:misc_RNA from 1 species
AACCAGAAAGGUAAAGAACAAAGUUUACCACUAACUCCAAAACACGAACAAUAUCAACCACUGUUGGAAAACAAUACAAUUAUAUAAAGUUCAAUUUACAAAGCUAUUAUUCAUGCUGUGUUUAUUUACAAGCUUCUUGGUUCUUGCACACUGAAAUUGUGAAGAUAUUACACAAAACGUUUUCUUUAGAGAAGGGAGAGGACGAUAGAGAGAACCACUACUCAUGCAACUCGCAUAUUUUUUGAAGCACGGAGGCAAGUGAAAUGAAAGUGUCAUCACAUAACAAGACCUCAACAUUUGAAACCUUUGCCCAAAAAACAAAAGGAAGUAACGCUUAUAAAGCUCCUGUCAACACAAACCCAUAAGGCCAUAAAGCUGCAAAUGUACCUCAGUUACUGGUGGGCAGAAGCCUGGAGCAGUCCAUCACGAAUCUGAGAAGCAACAUCACGUAUAGCACCAGGUCCAUGAGGAAUAAACACUGCAGAUGAUUUAGACGCAGCACCAAUUUCCUUCAUUGUGUCAAAAUAUUGAGUGACAAGGACCAUGUCCAUGAUAUCUUUUGCAGUGGUGCCUGGUACAUUUUCAGAGAAACCCAGCACACUAUCCCUUAAUCCAUCCACAAUUGCCUGUCUCUGACGAGCAAUACCCAGCCCAGCAAGAUAUUUUGCUUCAGCCUCACCCUCAGCUCGCUUAAUUUGGAGAAUCUUCUCAGCCUCUGCCUUCUCAUUUGCUGCCACCCUCAGUCUUGCAGCUGCAUUUAUUUCAUUCAUUGCCCGCUUUACAUGCUCAUCUGGUUCUAUAUCAACAAUGAGUGUUUGCACAAUUUCAUAUCCAUAAGUAGACAUAGCCUGACAAAUAUCAUUGAACACCACAUUGUUACAUAUUUAUGAGACUUGAAUUUCUCAACUAACAAAAGUUUCAUCACUACUAUACGUUUGCUUUCACAAUAUGGAGAAAAAAAAAAAACAUAUCUUUAAGUUUAUUUACCUUUUCAAGUUCGUCUUCCACAGCUUUGGCAAUUUCAUUCUUCUGCUCAAAAGCAUCAUCCAGAUCAAGUUUUGGAACACUUGCCCUAAUUACUAAAAUUAUGGGCCAAAGUAGUUGAGCUCAUUAUGGGUUGAAUAAGAUGAUUGAGAAUCAAAUGUCAAAAGAAGUAUGUAUCCAUGUUUAUAUGAAAACAUACAUAUCCAUGUCUAUACAAUCAUGCAUUAUUGAUGAGAAGUAUCAUAUACCAUCAAAAACAUAGGCCUGGAUUUGGGUUCUAGUGUUGCUGAGUUUGUAGAAAGCAUCA